rnacentral:rRNA from 1 species
GUGGGGAAUAUUGCGCAAUGGGCGAAAGCCUGACGCAGCGACGCCGCGUGAGGGAUGAAGGCCUUCGGGUUGUAAACCUCUUUCAGCAGGGAAGAAGCGAAAGUGACGGUACCUGCAGAAGAAGCACCGGCUAACUACGUGCCAGCAGCCGCGGUAAUACGUAGGGUGCAAGCGUUGUCCGGAAUUAUUGGGCGUAAAGAGCUCGUAGGCGGUUUGUCGCGUCUGCUGUGAAAACCUGGGGCUUAACUCCGGGCCUGCAGUGGGUACGGGCAGACUAGAGUGCGGUAGGGGAGACUGGAAUUCCUGGUGUAGCGGUGAAAUGCGCAGAUAUCAGGAGGAACACCGGUGGCGAAGGCGGGUCUCUGGGCCGUAACUGACGCUGAGGAGCGAAAGCGUGGGGAGCGAACAGGAUUAGAAACCCCAGUAGUCC